GGAAGACCCGAGAGUUCGUGCUAGCCCGGGGCCCAGCGAGAGGUGAUCCCAGAAAGACUGACUUGGUGACAACAUCGGUUGCUGCUGGAAUGUCUGCUUAGACACGAACUGAGGGACGACAUUUCCAGCUUCAUCUUUGAUCUUAACCCUCCCGGAGGCAUACUUGGUUUCCUGACAGCCGCUGCAAUACACAGUCUUGACGGUGCCAUCCGGGUACUCCCUCCUCUUGAACCGGGCUGUGUGGAUUUCUUUCUGCCCGUUGCUGAGCACAAUGGUUUUGUCGCCGUUCCUGAGAGGAGAAACACAUGGGAUGAAUAACAGUGAUUUUCACCUUGUACUGGAGACAGAACCCUUGGACACUGAGGAACUCGCUGUGGAGCCUGCUGAAAUACUGCUGCACUGCUUCUAUUUCAUUACAGGAACAGGAAGGUGAUUACAGUGCCUGCAUGUGGGGUGCAUUCACAGCUGCUUGAUGUGUUUCUGAAAAAAAGAAAAGCUGCCA
rnacentral:lncRNA from 10 species